UACGUAGGGUGCAAGCGUUAAUCGGAAUUACUGGGCGUAAAGCGUGCGCAGGCGGUUCCAUAAGACAGAUGUGAAAUCCCCGGGCUCAACCUGGGAACUGCAUUUGUGACUGUGGGGCUAGAGUACGGUAGAGGGGGAUGGAAUUCCGCGUGUAGCAGUGAAAUGCGUAGAUAUGCGGAGGAACACCAAUGGCGAAGGCAAUCCCCUGGACCUGUACUGACGCUGAGGUGCGAAAGCGUGGGGAGCAAACAGG
rnacentral:rRNA from 1 species